CAGCCGUAAACUAUGCGCGUUAGGUGUAUCGGUGACCACGAGUUACCGAGGUGCCGAAGGGAAACCGUGAAACGUGCCGCCUGGGAAGUACGGUCGCAAGGCUGAAACUUAAAGGAAUUGGCGGGGGAGCACCACAACAGGUGGAGCCUGCGGUUUAAUUGGACUCAACGCCGGGAAGCUCACCGGAUAGGACAGCAGAAUGAUUGCCGGGCUGAAGACUCUGCAUGACUAGCUGAGAGGUGGUGCAUGGCG
rnacentral:rRNA from 1 species